GUGUCAGCAGCCGCGGUAAUACGUAGGUGGCAAGCGUUGUCCGGAAUUACUGGGUGUAAAGCGCGUGUAGGCGGGAGGCCAAGUCUGCUGUGAAAUCGCUCGGCUCAACUGGGCGGGGUCGGUGGAAACUGGUCACCUGGAGGACGGUAGAGGCGAGUGGAAUUCCCGGUGUAGUGGUGAAAUGCGUAGAGAUCGGGAGGAACACCAGUGGCGAAGGCGGCUCGCUGGGCCGGUCCUGACGCUGAGACGCGAAGGCGUGGGGAGCGAACGGGAUUAGAUACCCCCGUAGUCC
rnacentral:rRNA from 1 species